AAGGAUGUUUCAACAUAUAUAAAUUAAUAAAGGUGAUACAUCGCAUUAACAGAAUGAAGGACUAAAAUCAUAUGAUCAUGUCAGUUGCAGAUUUGGCAUAU